GGAGUUGUAGCUCAGCGGUAGAGUGCUUGCCUUGUACACAUGAGGCACUGUGUUCGAUUCUCAGCACCA
rfam:Ictidomys tridecemlineatus contig032247, whole genome shotgun sequence.